rnacentral:rRNA from 1 species
CUUCUCUGGGCCGUAACUGACGCUGAGAGCGAAAGCGUGGGGAGCGAACAGGAUUAGAUACCCUGGUAGUCCACGCCGUAAACGUUGGGCGCUAGAUGUGGGUCACAUUCCACGUGAUCCGUGUCGCAGCUAACGCAUUAAGCGCCCCGCCUGGGGAGUACGGCCGCAAGGCUAAAACUCAAAGGAAUUGACGGGGGCCCGCACAAGCGGCGGAGCAUGCGGAUUAAUUCGAUGCAACGCGAAGAACCUUACCAAGACUUGACAUAUUCAGGAAAACUGCAGAAAUGUAGUCCCCCGCAAGGGUCUGUUUACAGGUGGUGCAUGGUUGUCGUCAGCUCGUGUCGUGAGAUGUUGGGUUAAGUCCCGCAACGAGCGCAACCCUCGUCCUAUGUUGCCAGCACGUUAUGGUGGGAACUCAUGGGAGACUGCCGGGGUCAACUCGGAGGAAGGUGGGGAUGACGUCAAAUCAUCAUGCCCCUUAUGUCUUGGGCUUCACGCAUGCUACAAUGGCCGGUACAAAGGGCUGCAAUACCGCAAGGUGGAGCGAAUCCCAAAAAGCCGGUCUCAGUUCGGAUUGAGGUCUGCAACUCGACCUCAUGAAGUCGGAGUCGCUAGUAAUCGCAGAUCAGCAACGCUGCGGUGAAUACGUUCCCGGGCCUUGUACACACCGCCCGUCAAGUCACGAAAGUCGGUAACACCCGAAGCCGGUGGCCUAACCGUAAGGAAG